UUAUUUGAGUUUAGUAAUCAUCAUCAGAUUAAACAAAAAGAUUGUUUAAAUAUUUUUAGGGCUUUAAAUGUACCACUUGACUAAAUUGUAUUUAACUUGCAUUUCAAGGCAAGCCGUAGAAUUUACCAACUCGAUUUUAUGUAGUCAUACAAAUUAAAUUCGUCCAGCUGCUGCUGCAAUAUUGAAAUGAACUUCAAAGUCGGAGAAGAAAUACGAGAGAUUCCCAGACGAAAAGAAAACCCAAACAGCCAACAAUAGCCAACUUCGACGGAGGUGAGGUUGUCGUGCUUGGAUUUCUUCGAUUUUCCUGGCUUAAAUGUUGCAGUUGCCGUUGUCGUCGUCGCGUUGUCGCUAUCUUUGUGUGUCACAAUUUUGCACGCUUCCUCCAACCGAGCGGAUUAAGGAUUUCAAUUUUGGAUUCGGGGUGGGGAUUGCACAGGAAAAAAAAUUGAUUGCACUUUGUAGAUAAUAAAUAGUAAUGGCACCACUUUGUUGUGAUUGGAAAAUCUUGCCGUUUUUGAUCUAUGUUGGCAUGCGCUCUUUGGCCGGCAAACACACACAAACAGGCGAACUGCAAACGGCAAACAAACAAACAUGGCAGAAAAAUAGGAGGACGGACGGACAAUGGGGCUACCCCAGCAACAAGUGCAGUGAAAAAGUCUUGCCAGAGACAUCGGUUGUCUAUAUAGGCGACAACAAUUUAUGGGCCGUUGGCGGUAAAAUUUGGAGUCAGCAGCACACAACGACUUGAGACCAGGAUCCAAGCGAUGGACGCCCGCAGAAGAUUAGAGGCGGCAUCUAUUUUGGCAGGCACUGUGCAAAAUCCACAGGUUUCCCCUUGACAAUGGGCUUGGCCUUUUGAAGGAUAGGUCAGUGAGAGUGGAACCCAUUAGUUGGCCAUGUGUAGAGUACCAUACGGAUUUCUAUUGAGACCCCACUGUACUCUUACAGCAAUAUGUACUUUUAACAACAAAUGGAUUUUUCAAAUAGGAAGUCUAGUAUCACUAGUUAAGUUGAACAUUGAUU